CGGUUGAUCCUGCCGGAGGCCACUGCUAUGGGGGUCCGACUAAGCCAUGCGAGUCAUGGGGGUGUCCCUUCUGGGACACCACCGGCGGGACGGCUCAGUAACACGUCGGUAACCUACCCUCGGGAGGGGGAUAACCCCGGGAAACUGGGGCUAAUCCCCCAUAGGUGUGGGGUACUGGAAGGUCCCCACACCGAAAGGGGCCUCGUGCCCGCCCGAGGAUGGGCCGGCGGCCGAUUAGGUAGUUGGUGGGGUAACGGCCCACCAAGCCGAAGAUCGGUACGGGCCAUGAGAGUGGGAGCCCGGAGAUGGACACUGAGACACGGGUCCAGGCCCUACGGGGCGCAGCAGGCGCGAAACCUCCGCAAUGCGGGAAACCGCGACGGGGGGACCCCCAGUGCCGUGGCAACGCCACGGCUUUUCCGGAGUGUAAAAAGCUCCGGGAAUAAGGGCUGGGCAAGGCCGGUGGCAGCCGCCGCGGUAAUACCGGCGGCCCGAGUGGUGGCCGCUAUUAUUGGGCCUAAAGCGUCCGUAGCCGGGCCCGUAAGUCCCUGGCGAAAUCCCACGGCUCAACCGUGGGGCUUGCUGGGGAUACUGCGGGCCUUGGGACCGGGAGAGGCGGGGGGUACCCCUGGGGUAGGGGUGAAAUCCUAUAAUCCCAGGGGGACCGCCAGUGGCGAAGGCGCCCCGCUGGAACGGGUCCGACGGUGAGGGACGAAGGCCAGGGGAGCGAACCGGAUUAGAUACCCGGGUAGUCCUGGCUGUAAAGGAUGCGGGCUAGGUGUCGGGCGAGCUCCGAGCUCGCCCGGUGCCGUAGGGAAGCCGUUAAGCCCGCCGCCUGGGGAGUACGGCCGCAAGGCUGAAACUUAAAGGAAUUGGCGGGGGAGCAC
rnacentral:rRNA from 1 species